rnacentral:misc_RNA from 1 species
AAGAAACUCUUGGCAACAUUUUAUUUCAUUGUGAGAAAGAAGUUCUAAUUUUUCCUUGGCAUUUGUCUGUGACCAAAGUGAAAAGCAAUUUAUCUGAAAGGGAAUUGACAAAAUCACUUGAAAAACAUUGUCAAAAAAACUGUCUACUAGGCCUAAGUUUUAAAUUUCUAAACGAACUACUAGUAUCAGCAGAGGAAACUUUUUCCUCUUCCUCAAAUGCUGUCCUGGUGUGUUGCUGUCAACCAGCUAUUAGUAACAUUUACAUGAAGCAUGGAACCUGAAAACUUGGUGUUUUGAAGCAUGCCAUCUGAAUUUUUGCAUAACAUGAUAAAUUUUACUGUGCAUUCUGGAAUUAUUUGCAAACUUAACAUUAUUCUAAAUAUAUCUACAUUAUAGCACAGGCUUUUUAUCUACAAUUGUUCUACUGCAUCAAAAAGUUGCAUUUGAAACUUAUUCCCUAUCUGUAGAUGCAUAACAUUUGCAGGUCUGUACGUUCAUAACUUCGAAAUCUGUAUUUGUGUUUCCGGUAUGUGGUGUGUGUCACUUCCUUUUUAAUUGAUUAUGUGCAUAAUUUGCAUGUGAGCAGAAAGGCCGUUUAUCAGAGGAUGAA